UACGGAGGGGGCUAGCGUUGUUCGGAAUUACUGGGCGUAAAGCGCGCGUAGGCGGCCGAUCAAGUCAGAUGUGAAAGUCCUGGGCUUAACCUGGGGACUGCAUUUGAUACUGAUUGGCUUGAAUUCGGGAGAGGAUAGCGGAAUUCCCAGUGUAGAGGUGAAAUUCGUAGAUAUUGGGAAGAACACCGGUGGCGAAGGCGGCUAUCUGGACCGACAUUGACGCUGAUGCGCGAAAGCGUGGGGAGCAAACAGG
rnacentral:rRNA from 1 species